CCGUGUGAGGCAGGGGGAUGACUGUGAGUGAUUUUCUGAGGCAGGGGGAUGACUGUGAGUGAUUUUCUGAGGCAGGGGGAUCACUGUGAGUGAUUUUCUGAGGCAGGGGAGAUGGACAGACAGAUGGACAGAAGAGCAGACAGACUGAUGGACAGAAACAGACAGAGAGAAGGGCAGACAGGCAGACGGGCGGACAGACAGACAGACAGAGGGACGGACAGAUAGACAAAAGAUGGAGAGACAGAUGGACAGAAGA
rnacentral:lncRNA from 1 species